rnacentral:rRNA from 1 species
AUGAGUUGCGCGGCGGUGUGUGCUCCCCCCUCCGGUCUCGGCCGCCACCACGGCUUCUCCUCCUCCCCCUCAACUGUAUGCAGGCGACGGGGGAGACCUCCGUACACUAUCCGGGCCUGUGCCAACUCCGGCGACGCGGAUGACAGCGGCGGAGGGCUCCUACCUCGUAUGGUGCUGCACGACUCGCUCGACGCCGCGGGGGUCGUCACCGAUCACGCUAGGGCGGCGAGGGAGGGGUUCGCGACGCAGAUCGGGAGGCUCACGAGACUCAACGCGGAGACCAGCAUCGCCAUCAGCCGCGGCGCCGAUCUCGCGCGGGCCGCGCUCUGUAUCGCGGCCGAGGACGACUCGCUCGUCUCCCACUCCUCCGUGCCGCUCCCCGUCGACGCCUUCAUUGCUCGCCUUGACGACCUUUCCACCGGGUUCCUCGCCGCGGGAUUCCUCCCGCCCUCUGGAGCGCCGCCCGAGGUCUUCUUCGACCAUCUCGACCGCUACCUCUACGUCCACAAGGGCUUUCGAAGAACAAACGUAGCAUCAGAUGCUCGGGCUAUGUAUCUUCACUCGACUUUGACAUGCCGAUCAGGAUCAGCUCUAAUGCUUUCGUUGAUAUAUUCAGAGUUGCUAAAGACACUACGGUUAUAUGGCUUACUAGACUUCGAUGAGGAGAUCUCCUUUCCACAUGAUCUCAAUGGCCUCCCUAGGGGCUAUGACAAACGAAGAAGCAAGUUUUGUGAUGAACCAAAUAUUAUGACAGCAAAGUCACUUUUGGUUGAGGGUCUUUUGUUUCACCCGCUCAUGUUUGAGACCCUACAGUUCAGUUACACUCGCAAAGUUAUUACGUAUCCCCCAAACCAGAUUUUACAAACUCUGAAGGGUAUGUUUUGGCCGUUCCAGUCUAACCAGUCAAGUAGCUUAUUUUUGAAUGCUGUUGCUGCAAACCACCAUGGCCCUGGUAAUGUAGGCGGCAGUCAAGCAAGGUCACAUGGCAAUAUAAGUGCCAUAGAGAUGGCUGCUGCUAAAUCUGCUCAACAUAGGUUGAUGCGUGGAGUAUGGACUAAUGUGCGCUUUGGUGAUAUGCGUCGUGCUUUGGCAGCUUGCGAGAGAUUGAUCCUACUGAAUCACAAUCCCUGUGAGCUUAGGGACUAUGCUGCCCUUCUGUACCACUGUGGCUACUACAAAGAUUGCCUGCAGUACUUAACGUCGUACCAAAAUGCCAUGGUUGGACAGCCCCGGACCAAUCCACUGGAGAUGUUGGAGGACGACGCAGUGAACACUCUCACGGCACGAGUAAACCUAAUUUUAGCAGAGGAUGGCUGGGACAGCCACAAACCUGCCGCAAGUUACUGGACCAAAAAUUCUGAGCCAUGGUAG